CUCACUUUGACGGGGCAUAUUCUAAAGUUGGGACAAUACAGAGAAGAUUAGCAAUGGGCAAGGAUGAUAUGCAUAUUCGUGAAGUGUUCCAUGUUUUU
rnacentral:snRNA from 1 species